CACUACUUUAUUUACAUCGUCGGCGAGCUAAGCCCAUUGAGUGGUAAUAUCGUGGAACAACUUAUACGCGUUAUAUAUCGUCCUUCGGGCUAUCUCGCUACUGGCUUUGAAAAACAAAGAAAAUGUUAAACGAAGCAUGUACGAGGUAUCGUACUAUGCUAAAAUCAUACUAUUCUUACUCAGGCAAUAUUUUUUGCCACUCAAUUUCAAUUGCUUUCCAUUUGGCAUGAUCGACCUCCCGGAACAGAUUGGGGUACAUCCCAUCGACAAACCUCCUCCUCUUCGAAUGUGAUAUGGUGAAGAUGUGUACGGUAUCCUCGAAACAUUUCCAACCCCACAAAUAGUUGUUGAAGCGAUCAAUGUCGUUGACGAUCUUCAGGUGGAAGAGGUCGAUCGCAAUCUUCUUGUGGUGACACUGUACCACGCUCUCAAGGAUAUAGACUAGACCUAACUUUAGCCUGUCUAACAUCUAGUCACACCUCUUGAUUGUGUUGAUCAGCUAAGGCAAAUUCACCAUCCUCUGUCCGUGAAAGUAAGCGUACUGCAACUUAUUUCUUUUCUGAGACCCGUCACUAGCUAUGACUUUGCCCCUAAGGUUAAAGUGGAGAGCAACUCCGUCGAUUGGACUCAGUAACUGACAUAGAAGUGAAUAGAUGAUCUGACCUGAGUACUACACAUCUCUUAACUGGUACAGGGGCCAUAGAAAGGACUGCCGCAGCAUAUUUGCAUGCUGAUCGUCGAUCAAUUCCAGUAUAGUGGUAAAACUGUCAAGACUACUGUUCCACAGUAGCUUGCGUGGCAUAUGUCUCAAUUCUGUGUUUAGAUGAUAAUUUAUCCUGCAAAAAUUCGAAAUAUUAUAAAAUUGUACAAGAGAUAAUGGAAUAAAGCAUAAUAACAGAAAAUCACACGAACCGAAUCGUAACUACUAUACGCAAGACGUAGAAUCAUUUGAAA
rnacentral:lncRNA from 1 species